rnacentral:rRNA from 1 species
GACGUAGGGGGCGAGCGUUGUCCGGAUUUAUUGGGCGUAAAGCGCGCGUAGGCGGUUCGUUAAGUCGGGUGUGAAAACCCGGGGCUCAACUCCAGAACUGCCUUUGAUACUGGCGAUCUUGAGUCCGGGAGAGGUGAGUGGAACUGCGAGUGUAGAGGUGAAAUUCGUAGAUAUUCGCAAGAACACCAGUGGCGAAGGCGGCUCACUGGCCCGGUACUGACGCUGAGGUGCGAAAGCGUGGGGAGCAAACAGG